UACAUAGGGGGCGAGCGUUAUCCGGAAUUAUUGGGCGUAAAGCGUGCGUAGGCGGUUUAUUAAGUCUGGUGUGAAAUCCUAUAGCUUAACUAUAGUGGGUCAUUGGAAACUGGUAAACUUGAGUGCGGUAGAGGUAAGUGGAAUUCCAAGUGGAGCGGUGGAAUGCGUAGAUAUUUGGAGGAACACCAGUGGCGAAGGCGGCUUACUGGGCCGUAACUGACGCUGAUGCACGAAAGCGUGGGGAGCAAACAGG
rnacentral:rRNA from 1 species